UACGUAGGGGGCGAGCGUUGUCCGGAGUUACUGGGCGUAAAGGGCAUGCAGGCGGUCGGACGCGUUUCGGGUGACAGCGGGUGGCUUAACUACCCGAGUGGUCGAAAGACGGUUUGACUUGAGGACGCGAGAGGGACACGGAAUUCCGGGUGGAGUGGUGAAAUGCGCAGAUAUCAGGAGGAACACCGGUGGCGAAGGCGGUGGUCUGGGCCGGAACUGACGCUGAGGAGCGAAAGCGUGGGGAGCGAACAGG
rnacentral:rRNA from 1 species